rnacentral:rRNA from 1 species
AGAGCGAACGCUGGCGGCAGGCUUAACACAUGCAAGUCGAGCGGGCGUAGCAAUACGUCAGCGGCAGACGGGUGAGUAACGCGUGGGAACGUACCUUUGGUUCGGAACAACCCAGGGAAACUUGGGCUAAUACCGGAUAAGCCCUUACGGGGAAAGAUUUAUCGCCGAAAGAUCGGCCCGCGUCUGAUUAGCUAGUUGGUGAGGUAAUGGCUCACCAAGGCGACGAUCAGUAGCUGGUCUGAGAGGAUGAUCAGCCACAUUGGGACUGAGACACGGCCCAAACUCCUACGGGAGGCAGCAGUGGGGAAUAUUGGACAAUGGGCGCAAGCCUGAUCCAGCCAUGCCGCGUGAGUGAUGAAGGCCCUAGGGUUGUAAAGCUCUUUUGUGCGGGAAGAUAAUGACGGUACCGCAAGAAUAAGCCCCGGCUAACUCGUGCCAGCAGCCGC